rnacentral:piRNA from 1 species
UGUGUAGAAAUAGUUAUCUUUCUUGGUGU